rnacentral:rRNA from 1 species
GGCCCACCAAGGCGACGAUUGGUAGCCGGACUGAGAGGUUGAACGGCCACAUUGGGACUGAGACACGGCCCAGACUCCUACGGGAGGCAGCAGUGGGGGAUAUUGCACAAUGGGGGAAACCCUGAUGCAGCGACGCCGCGUGGAGGAAGAAGGUUUUCGGAUUGUAAACUCCUGUCGUUAGGGACGAUAAUGACGGUACCUAACAAGAAAGCACCGGCUAACUACGUGCCAGCAGCCGCGGUAAAACGUAGGGUGCAAGCGUUGUCCGGAAUUACUGGGUGUAAAGGGAGCGCAGGCGGACCGGCAAGUUGGAAGUGAAAACUAUGGGCUCAACCCAUAAAUUGCUUUCAAAACUGCUGGCCUUGAGUAGUGCAGAGGUAGGUGGAAUUCCCGGUGUAGCGGUGGAAUGCGUAGAUAUCGGGAGGAACACCAGUGGCGAAGGCGACCUACUGGGCACCAACUGACGCUGAGGCUCGAAAGCAUGGGUAGCAAACAGGAUUAGAUACCCUGGUAGUCCAUGCCGUAAACGAUGAUUACUAGGUGUUGGAGGAUUGACCCCUUCAGUGCCGCAGUUAACACAAUAAGUAAUCCACCUGGGGAGUACGACCGCAAGGUUGAAACUCAAAGGAAUUGACGGGGGCCCGCACAAGCAGUGGAGUAUGUGGUUUAAUUCGAAGCAACGCGAAGAACCUUACCAGGUCUUGACAUCCGAUGCAUAGUGCAGAGAUGCAUGAAGUCCUUCGGGACAUCGAGACAGGUGGUGCAUGGUUGUCGUCAGCUCGUGUCGUGAGAUGUUGGGUUAAGUCCCGCAACGAGCGCAACCCUUAUUGCCAGUUACUACGCAAGAGGACUCUGGCGAGACUGCCGUUGACAAAACGGAGGAAGGUGGGGAUGACGUCAAAUCAUCAUGCCCUUUAUGACCUGGGCUACACACGUACUACAAUGGCGUUUAACAAAGAGAAGCAAGACCGCGAGGUGGAGCAAAACUCAAAAACAACGUCUCAGUUCAGAUUGCAGGCUGCAACUCGCCUGCAUGAAGUCGGAAUUGCUAGUAAUCGCGGAUCAGCAUGCCGCGGUGAAUACGUUCCCGGGCCUUGUACACACCGCCCGUCACACCAUGAGAGCCGGGGGGACCCGAAGUCGGUAGUCUAACCG